AGGUCACGUGAUUUAAAGCAGUCAUCUAAUAAGGACGUCUAAUGGGUAACAUGUUUGUGAAAACUGUGAGUAAAUCAUGAAUUUGGCAAUAUAAUAUCUGUAUAACUAACAAAUGUUGACAACUUAUACACUGGUCAAUGAUUUGUAUGCAGUGUAAAUGACUUCUUGUCUAAUUGCUGAACUAAACAGUACAUUACAAACACCACAAAGAGCUGAGCAGAUUAGCAGUCUCAUCUCAAAUCAUCUCAGAUUGGUUAUUUUAACUUGAGUUGUGAUAGAUAUUUCCAUUAUAUAACAACAGGGGCAGCGCUAGAAAUUUUGAGCUCAGCAGAAAUAUGUCAGCCCCCCACCCCACUUCACAACUGCAGAUAUUUAAGGGUCUCUGUCAUUCAUGGGCCCUAAGUCCCCCCUCUCCAGUACACCUCUGCUCAGAGACAUUAUGUAAGAGAGAUAAUUUAUCAGGAGAAAUGAGUCAACUUGAAAUGUAAUUUUUUAUAAAGCUCAGCAGUAUAACAGCUGCUGUCACACUGCCUUUGUGGACACCAUGCCAGUGUUUUUGAUCCCGAGGAAUAAGUUGACAAUCACUGACUCCUGAUAUCGCAGCGACCAUUGUCACAAGUAUACUGUUGGUGAAAAUUUUUCAUGUCAGCGGCAUAAAUGUCUUUUUCUGAAAUAUUGCUAUUUUCAUCUGCAGGAUUUUAGGAUGCUGUUGUGUCAUGAACAACACUUUGACCACCAAGUAAGGACGGAAACCAUCAUUUUUGAAGAAAAUAGGUUGAGAAUGAGAUUGUUAAACAUGACUGUAAGAGCUACAAAACCAAUGCAGCUCAGUGUUUUUGAGUUUCUUUUUUUUUUUUUUUUUUUGUCGCUGGAUUUAUUUCUCAGUGUCACUCCUCCAUUACAAACCAAGAAGAGGUUGGACCUUAUGGUAUGAACUUCAUCUGUAAUGAUGACCAAGGAGACAGUAAUAGGUAACAACUGUACCACAGAAGGUAUAAUUUUUACUCAUAAUUUCCAGGUCAUAAGUUGCAGGGUUUUUUUUUUUAUUCUUUUGAAAAUUAUUCGCCAUCCUUUUAUUUUGAUAUUUUUUCUGUCCUGCAUUCAUGUUAUUUAAUUUCCUACAAAACCUUUUAUUUAUUUUGAAGUCAAAGCUACUUCAGUAGAUUGUAAGUUAAAAAACUAAACUAAAACAGCUAGCAGAAGGGUCAAAAAAGUAUAAAUGUUUGAUUGACUAGAAACCUGGGUAGGCAAAAACUCUAAAAUUGCAUCUGGAUUUUUCAACAAGUGAUAGGAUUUUAGUUUUCAAAGUGCUGAAUCAUCUCUAGGAGAGCUGCUUCACUGUCAUCUCUCCAGUGUUGUAUGACGUGUGUCGACCAGUAUACAGGACCUCAACUAUGAACUCACAGUUUUGUAGUUUUCUAAUAUUGUCAGCUCGUUAUUAAUAUGUCAUAUUCUAAUGACAAUAGUUGCUGUCAAUAGAAGAAAAGAAGAAGAUAGAAUGUAUUUAUCUCUGAAGGGAAAUUUAAUGUAUAAUAUACAAUGUACAAUACCUGUAUUAUCAAAAUGUGCCAAAUGGUCAUUGCUAUAGGUGGUAGAAGAAGGGGAGACCAGGGACAGUUGCAACAAGGCUUAUUCCUGCAAUCAGAAACAUGCUAGAUCCUCUAUGUUGUUUUGUCUUGUACAGCACUUUGUUCAGCUGUGGUUGUUUUAAAGUGCUUAACAAAUAAAGUUGAGUUGAGUUGAGAUUGAUGACACUGAUACUGCAGAUGCUAAGUUGGAACCCCCCCACCCCCCACCCUCACCUGCAGGACAAAAGACACAUUACAUUUAGCAUCAAUCUGGAUUUAUUGGGGGAAAAAAAUGUUUUUGAUGUAUGAAAGUAGUUUUUUUUUCAUGUAGUGUGUUUUUGUCAUACCAUCCUGACUGUUUAAUUUAACCAAGUUACAUGGUUAGCAUUUGUUAAAAACAGUGAGUUUAGUUAGUACAUGGUGUCCUGUCAUGGCUGACCACCACACGCUAGUGCAUAAAGGUAGAAUUCACAAUCCACUUACUAAAAUUAAAAUCUGUAACAUCUGCACAUAUACUCAAGGUAAGCCUAUGUUUUAUGCAGAAAAAAACAAAACUCAAUAUUGAAUAUCAGAUUAAUGAAUAAAUAAUACUGUAACAUUUUUUAUAUUAAAUUAUCAUUAAUAUACAAUUAUAAAAUAUACAAUAUACAUCAUCAUCACAACUUUUUGAAACUGAAUGGAUCUGUGACAUGUUGCAACUGUCCCAGGGAUGGGGUCAGAGAAACAAAAAUUUACCAUAUAAAUAAAUGGUUGGUCUAGUCCAAAUCAUCUCUGAGUAAUUGAAAGAGAAGCAAAAAGUGUUGCAACUGUCCCCAGUCUCCCCUACGUUAAGCAGCUCUCAUGGCCAUGCAACAUAGGUGAGAGAUUCUCUGAGGUUGGAAAUGCUGACAAGGCAUGAAGAGUGUUUCUUACAGCCUUAACAGAAUAAGUGAUAUAGUCAUACUGAAAAAUAGAACCAUUAUUGGGAGAAGUAGAGAUCCAAACACCACGUUUCCUUUAGCAGUGUGUAAGAGAGCUGUUAGUCAGCUGAAAGUGAACUCCGUACAGAGUUGAAGGUUUGUAGCUUUCUAGACAGAAGUCCUUGUAAGUCUCAUUGAUUCGGCUAAAGCUCUAAAAUGUUUCUAACUCAUCCCUGAAAUUAAGACAACACAGAUGGUAAAGGCAGGCCCAACCUGUGAGGGAGUGUGUGUUCAGCAGUAGGAUAUCUGUUAGUUGAAGAGGUUGGAAAUGAAAAACUCCUGUCACACCUGUGUCUUUGGGGCACAGAAAUGUGUAAAUGUGGGCAGUGGGGAGUGUGUCUAAUACUGUGAGUGUGUCCAAUAAGGGGAGGUAUUGACAGCCAUAUGGGCCUGUGUAAUCACUGCUGGUAGGAUUCAUUGCUCGUAAAUAUAUAAUUCAAAGUAGCGUGGGGCAAUUUUGAUUUUAAUUAAAAAAGACCCAACCUUUUUAGAAGUCUUCGUCCGUCUCCCUUCCCGUUGAUGAAUUGGAAAUGAAUGCGCCUCCAAUUCCUGCAAUUUUUAAUUAGGUUAUGUUAUGGGGAGGAAAAAGCAAACUUGUGUGGAAUUGAAUUAGUGUGGGCCAGAUGUGACCGCUUCCUGGUUUAUCAGCUUUCUGGACGCCUCCCUCUCUCCUGAUCCCCCGCAGCACCCUGUACAGGAAGCGCAGAGGAAGGAGGAGAGAGUGAGGGGAGAAGGAGGGCGUGGGAGGUAGGGAUAAGGGGGUAAGAGGUGGUAGGCGGAAGUGUGUUUUGAAUUGGAGGCGUAUGCAGUGAGGCUGUGUACAACCCCUGCGGUGCAGGUUGUGUAGAGAGGGAAAUCAUUUUUCCUGCUGAGAAACAUUUCCCCAUGUGAACUUGACACCCCCUGCCCCAUGUAUACUUUCACACUGUCAUUUUCCCCUCCUCUCUUUCACAUUCACAAUGUCAUUUUCUUUUUCUUUUAUCUUUCUUUACUCCGCUUUCUCCUGUAAUGCUAGCAAACCUCAUCUUUACUCUCAGUGAAGGGUAUAGGAAAACCUUAAAGCGGUAUCUUCUGGCUGCAUUACUGUACGCUGCUGGCUGUGUGGUGUAACAGAGAGGAUUUGCGCGCUGUACGAGCAAUAAACAUUUUUCUGAGGUUUUUGACUUCCCUGCUUGGCCAUUUCAUGUGCAUCGCUCCCUAAAAUGACCCUAGAAGAGCCUGAAUGCGGGGAACACCGAGCAAAGUGAAGACGAUCUCAUUUUCCUCUCCUCUUCUCUUUUUGUGUCUCCAGGGGCUUUGGGCUAUAAACGACGUGCUCUAUGGUGCAAGCCCCAUCCCAUUCUUGCCAUAUGCCCUCCUCCAAUCUUCCCACAAUCCCCCUGGGGAGACCUGGGCCCUCCACUUCGCCUGCCCUGUCACAGGAGAAAAUUACCCAACUGGCAGCAUAUUUGUGACAGUUUAGUGAACACUCGGUCUAAGAAUAUGGCAGUAAAGAUUGCUCUAUCGGUUCUGGAUCAUUUAGAAUCCAAUUUAAUCCAAGCCGGGAGGAAAAAAGGCCAAAUAAAAACAAAAGGCCUUAAUUAAGAAGGCUGGGUGAUUGUAGGCCAUUUGUUGGGCAGGUCACUGUUCAAUCUGCUUUUACACUUUGUCACUUAGGGGACAAAUCUGAAUGCAGUGUAUGUGAAGAAAUGUAACCAGAACAGUUAGGGUGAAGAACGAUGAUUUUAUCAGCGAGGAAAGUUUGAAAAGGUUUCAGCUGAGGUAAACAUAUUUACUAGCAGACCUCUGUCACUGAAGUAUCUUGUUUAUAUCUGUGUCCGUGCUCGCAGACGUGUUCAUAGAGAGAAUUGAAGAAUCCCUGCGCUACUUUAAGGAUGACAUAUAAACAGAGUCUGAGAUUUGAAGGCUGCUUCAAGCUUAGCAUUAUGUGAUGAAAGAGCACAUCUGCAUUAGUCAGCCCUUAAGCCCCCACCACCACUGGAGAGUGCGCAUCUGCGUUUGCAUCCUCUGAUGGUCCGCACUUGCUAAUGGAGAUGGAUUCAUGCAGCGCUGGAAACCCAGCAGCCCUCCUCCCCACACUGUACACCCGACUUGGCCACAUCAUUUCUCUCCCUGGCUUAAUGUGCUGGUUCUCUCCUCUGAGGCUGUUAGGUAGGUUGUAACUUGUCUCCUGACACCCCCCACACUCCCACCUACCCCUCCUCCCUUUGCCAGUGAAAACAUCUGCCCCCCUACAGACUCCUGUCUGACAGCUUGGAGGAUAGAUGGAAAGUUCUCAUCCUCUGCCGCAAGCUGUUUUGUAUUCAAAUAGCCUCCUUGUUAAGUCUCCCCUACAGACAAUGGUUUUGUUGUGUUGUAGCCAAAGGCUAAGGGAGCUUAUGUGCCUAUGAGUUGGCCUGAGAGUCUAGUUACAGCAUGUUUUUGGUGUGGGCUGCUUCAAUAUUUUGUAGCAGGAGAUUCAGUGCUUUUCCUUCUCUUGGCUCACUUAAUUGAAGCUCUGGUUGUGGGCUUGUCAGAGUCGGUUGCCCUCAGUAACUGAUGGAGGUGAUCAGGCAUUCAGUGUGGGAGAGCCAAGCACGGCUAAUAGAGUUGAAGCCAUUGGUCAGUCUUUACAUAAUCAGAUGGUAUUGACAUGGCUAGAAAGAAUGUCAAUAGCCAUGUUUGUGCUGACACUAGCUUAUAGAGCUCAAUCUUCAGUAGAGAUUAGAUUUUCUCCCCUGAAAGACUUUGUGUCAUGUUAAUGUGUGUAACUGUCUGCUUUAUGCCAGCAAGUUUGAAUCUGUGUGUCGGGAGGAAUUGGAAAAAAAGUUUGAAAGAGUGUUUCUAAACUCUGCUGUUAUAGUGACAUGAAGGUAUUCAGGAAGUGGUUUGACGACUGUUAGCAGGGAGGAUGGCUGAAUGUAACGUCAACCCUCAUUUUCUACUUCAACAACUACUAUUUUUCCCUCCAUAAGAACCACUAAUGUCAUCCAUGAUUUUAUACAGACUUGUUGAACAGAGAAGUCAGCCCUCAGCUCUCUAGACAACAUGUCCUCUUACAGCAACCUACGCCUAGAGCAACAUCUUUGGCUCUUGCUUCAAAAUAGGUACUAUUUCAGUACAAAGUAACUUUAGGGAGUAACGAAGGGAAACUUAAAGUUUUGGGCACUUGAAUCCCUUACACAGCAUCUGCAACUCCAUUUCAACUGCUUCAAACAGCCGAAUCAUCACCAGAGCUUCUCUUUGGGGAUCUUCACAUACAUCGAGGUGAGGAUCCCUCCCCUUGCACCCCCGCCACAAGUACAGACAGAUGUACAGAUUUUUGAUCCAACAAUCUGUUUGAGAGGUGGAAUGCUUAAAGUUCUUCAUCAUCAAAGCAAAGGUGAGAGGUACCAUUCAUACAGACUGGUUCAACCAUCACUCCCAUCUACAAGUUCACUGUCAGGUCUCCACUAUCAUUAUUUCCACCCUAACACGACCAUCAUGAACAUUUUUGUACGGCUUUAUCUCAUUUUUCUCUGAAGUUGAGUUGGUUUUGUUGGAUAGUAGAUGAACUAGAUAACAAGCUGCCAUUUCUGCCGUGGAGUCUUCUCAAAACAUGUGGAAGCUUGGAUUGACUUUAAGAGGUGCUACAAAAAGCAAAUUAUUCGCUUUACAAACUCACUGGUGUGUAACGACCUGAACAGGCUGCACAGAAGACAAACAAGAAAAGAGUCAAAACUAUUAUAAUUACUGAUAAGUUUGCCUCUUCCUUCUUCAUGUAUUUUCUAAUCGAUCCACAGGUGAUGACUGAAACGAUCCUGUAAAUAACCUUUCUCAUCUUGCUAGCAUGCUAAUUAAGUAGCUGCUUAUAAUUAUUACAGCUCAGUUGUGGUUGCAAAUGAUCAUAAAUGAUGAAAGUGUAUUUGCUGAUUGAACUAGUCUGUUGUCAUUAAAUGCAGCUGUUGAAUAUUGUACCUUGCAUGGUAAACAUUGUAACAACACAAAUGUGCAGCAGAUACAGUUAACUCCUGUCUUCAUUCCUCUAUAUGUAGUCCCUAAAUCUCUAUGAUAACUUUAAAUGAUACUAACAUCAUUUGUCUAGAGAUUUUUAAUCCAGCUAUCCGUUCUGCUUUCAUAGUCUGCAGACAGAGGCAGAUGCUGAGUUGCCUCUGCAGCAAUGGUCGAUAUCCAAAACAGUGCUGUGCACAAGCGGCUCAGCUCAUUUCUGCAGCAUUCUCUAAUCACCCACACAAUAGGUCAGUAUAAAGCUUUGGAAUCUCAACAUGAAGAGGCAAAGACAUGUCAUUGUUCUUCAUACAACUAAAAGCAAAGACUGAAGUCUGGCACAAGAAGUUCUUAAAAAGUUACUAUAAACACAUGGUGUGAGUUGUGGUUAACAAGUUGGAUUUGCUUCAGUUAAAGCUGUAAAAGGCAAGUCCAAAAGAGUGACGGACAGCAAGUGAGAUGUUGACUCUGGCUGCCGUGUUGGCUGUUACUUUUCCACAUGCCAGCUCCUAUCCUGGCCACUUUCUCAUUCUGAGUGCCAACUGUGCCCCUGAGCCCUGCGCCUGAAUAUGGAUGCCCUGCUCGCUUAAACACUGUGCCACAUUGCUCCCUCUUCCCCUCCUUCGCCUCCUGCUUAGACACUAAUUUUCUUCACCUUCUUCAUCACCUUCAGUCUUUUUCAACUAGGUUGAAACCUGCUUUUGAAGUGUUUAGCAGAAUAUUAAAGACCUAAGCAUCAUUUUAGUGUUUUUAGUGUCUACGCGUUGUACAUAACUGUGAUUUCCUCCACAUGCUAAUGAGGUAUAACAUAAUCUCCCCCUGCUUUGACUUGUUAAUCUCUCUUUCCAUCCACUCUUUUUCAUCACUCACUCUUUUCCCCUCGGAUAUCUCACUUGCACCACCCCCCUCCACCUCUGUCCAGCUCUUUUUUGGUAUUCUGGCAGAGCGCUUGCACUCCCGCCACCUCGGCCGGCUCGUUGAGAGAGUGAGUGCCAGAGAUCUGACCUGCAGUUGAUUCUCUGCCAGUACAGGUCUCUGAUGCCCCAGUAGGGAUGGCAGCAUGGCAUUAGCUGAGCUCAGCACACAUACAUUUAAACACACUCACACUCAUCAUGUGCACAUACACACACACUCACACUCACACACAUACUGGCACCUCACUGUCACAAGUAAGCGCUGAAGAAGUCUCACCUUCCUUUUCCCCUUUUCCUCUCAGUCUGCUGGAGCUUCUUUCACCUCUCCCCAACUCUUCCUCUUGGCUCGCUUCCCCCACCAAAAAAGUCUCACUCCCCUGCCAGCCUCUUUCCUCACACCCUGAGUUUUGCUUCAGACACCGCCACUGGGGAAGUCCUCACUCAUCGCUGCUCAUCUUGUUUCAUACCCAAAUAACACAACUUCACAAGGAGAUUCUGAGCCAAGGGGGCUUAUUUUGGUCUCACAUGCUAGUUCUUAUCAAACAUGUUCAAAAGACAUGAAAAGGGGGCUGAAGGUCAGAGAAUAAAGAGGAGUUCCUUCACAUAAAUCCAGGUAGUACGUUGAUUUCUUAGUGUUUACCUUGUCACAGACUGUACAGUGCACCAAAGUCACAAAAAUUUGACUCUUUGGCGCACUCAGUGCUCUUUUGGAAACACUCACACUCUCCCUUUUUUUAUGCACCGGCAGAUGACUGAAUAGAGAGUGAAAAAGCAGAAUGCAUAGAUUUGUCAUUUUUGUGCAUUGGCUUGCAUGCAUACUUACACGUGGGUGUAUGUUUGCACAGGGAUUUCUGUCAGCUUCACCCUGCACAGUCUCUAGAGGCAAAGGGAUUACAGUGAAGAACCUCCUGCAUGAGCAGUGGUGGGGAUAACUGCAUAUGCACUGCACUCCUCUGACAAUCCCCUCUUUGGCUGCCUUCUCCCUCAGAUCCAAACAGGGGAUUUGACACGGGAUCUUGCAGCUGCAUUGACACUUCAUCUCUGUGCCUCCCGCUGCGAUCUGUCAGCAGAUCUGCUGUGGGGAUCUAUGCAAGAGCAGCCUGAAGGGAAAUGUGUUUGAACUGCUGUGGUGAGACACAUGUAGUGCACACAGGCUGCGGCUGAAUAAGCCUGAGCGGGAAUGACCUCUUGGUUUGUGAGGACUGAGGGGUUUACAGGAGGCUUUGAAUACUACCUGCCCUUAAAACAAGUGGACAAGUAAGUUUCUUAUUUCGAUAGACAAAAAGUUCUUCUUUAGUUGCUGACGGUCUUGGACUGUGACUAAAACUUUUAGACAAUAUUACAGAAACGAUUUCUACCCAGACAGACCUUUUAUUAAGCUAAGUUGUUUUUUUUCAACUAGAAAAAGCAAUUUUAUUGCUCCCUUCAAUCCCCCCAGGACUCCACUGCUAAAAGACAGUAAUUUUAUCUUACAGAACUCAGGCUUUUGAAGCAUUUCAGCUCAUCUUUAAUCUGUUGUCAGGACUUUUUCAACUGGUUAUUGAUAUACAAGCUCAAUUUUUCUUAUUAAUAUACAUAUGAUAGACGAAUGCAACUAAGCCAUAACCUUAUGAGAAAACUGUUUUUAUCUAUGUGCUAUUUUUUUAAACAAGUGAAGUAAGUUAGCCAAUUAAGAGAUUUUUGUGCAAAUACAGAACAGAAUCAGUGAGAGGAUAAUGUACAUGGCUUGGCCUGCAGGGGGUGCUAAAAUAAAGACAAAACAGCAAAUUCCUUUACAGCUGCUUUGACAAGAACAUUGCUUGUCUUUGCACAGAUUUUCUUUUCUGAAGAAUCACAACAUCUGAACCUCUUUGUUGUCAUUAUGCUGAAAAUGUAUUAUAAAGAUAGGAGCAUCCCUCCUGUUUAGUGCCUAUAAGACACUCCUUCACAGUCAAAGAAAAAGACUCACGUAUAUUAGCAAACAGCAUGAAAGGUUCCCCUUGUGGCUGGCUGCAGUAAAGGUCCACCUCCUUCGUUUGAAUAGAAGGAUCAUAAGUCAAACGUUAAAAUUAAAUUGAAAUCUUAUCAUGCUGAUCUAUAUGUAAGUGUUAAUUUUCAGAAACGUUUGGUUUUGUUUAGUUAUUUGAUCUUGAGAAGGACAAAAAGGAGCUACCUCAGUGCACUGAAAGGCCCACUCCAAUCAUUUUUUUCUACUUCAAGUGUUCUCAGUGGUCUUUAAAUUGUGAUUAUUGACAAAGUUUUUAGCCAAAAUUACGUUACCUGUGCCAUUUUAAAGGGCUUUUGUUCUGCAGAGCUCCUGUAGCUCAUUAGCAAUUUGUCUCUGAGUCGUGGGCGGAGACAGCACUGCUCUGCACACUUCUCUGUAUGUUAGCUUGCAGCCUAGCGCAGUGGAAGUGGCAGGUAACAUAGGAGCUAUUCAGCUCUCGGACACUAAUGUCUUUGAAGACAUGAUGAAUGUUAAAAUCAUAAGCUUUUUUUUUUUUACGAGCAUUGCAAUCUGCUAACGCACACACUUGUUCCGUGAUCAUCCUCUCUUUUUCUCUGAGUCUGGCCAGUUUAGCAGAGCUCUGGGGGUGGAGCUUGGAUUUGUGGUGUAGGAAAUCUCAUUGUAUCUGGGCCUGCCAUUUGGGUCUGUGAUAGAUUCACAAUGAUUUGAAUGAAGAAAUACUCAGAAAUGCAAUUUUUCACUUAAUUUUCUCAUGAUAUGUCCUGUAGCAUCAGAAAAAAUGCCACAUGAACAUGUAGACAACAAGAAAAGUGGGUCUUUAAGUAGAGAAGAGGAGAUAAUGUAUUCAAGAGUAUUCAAGAGUCACUGAACUUUUUAUUAACUCAAGUUUCUGCAUCAAUCAGCACAAUAACCCGAUGUCUUAUCAUUAAGUUCAAUGAGUAUUUUGCUGGGGAGAUGUGGAGAGGACAGUCCUGUCAGUCCCAUGGCUGUCAGAUCACUUCUGUGCAUGCCUCAGCUUCACCAGUGCAAUAUGCCAGCGCCCAUGGAGGCAGUGUUAUGGCUCCACAUCGCACAAUGGGAGGAGAUGGAGGCACGGUGUCCAUAUUCAUAAGCAGUUAAUGACUCACACAGACGAAGCUCACUCCAAUAUCAGCCCAUCAUAUGAGCAGUUUUUCCUGGAAAUUCUUCAGCCAGGCUCAUUUGCCCCGAAGGCUUCUGUUGUGUCAUUACAGCCGGUCUCUUGGGUGCCAUCUGAAGCCAUCUACUGAGGCCUUUCAAGAACGUUUUGUUCCCAUUUGUCAUCAAGACACCAGUGACUGUACAUUAAAUAGGGCUCAAAUUUCAAAAUAGAGGAAUUUGAACAUUUGUGAAGUGUCCCUUUAAAAGGAGGGGGAGGGCAAAUUAUGCGUUAAGCUCCAUUUGAACCCUAGAGCAGUGGCAUUAAACAAAAGGAAAACACUAAAAUAGAAAACAAUAGAAUUAGAUCAUAAAAGAAAGAUAGAAGAAAAAAAAAACAUCACAUUUUAAGUUAAAAUACUCUCAAUCUGUCACAGACAUGAAACCUGCUCUGAGCAGCUGGCACAGUCCUCUGAAGGCACAGGCACACCAUCUCUUCAUCUCUAAAUGCACUCUGUGUAAUAGUCAUCCAGUGAAAUGACUCAAACUUUCUAAAUCUGACACUUGUAGCCAUCACUGAAAAGUAAAGGUUGAAAUAAGAUGUCUAUUAAACCAUAACCUGCUGGGAACUGCACUAUCCUCACUCUGCUGCUGCUGCCAUUACACUUCAGCAAAACUUAUGAAACUUUUUCUGAAAGAACUCAGGUGAGCUGUGGUAAAAAUGUUCACCCUGAAUGAGCCUGGAGUUUCUCCUGCCUGUCAGUCUUCAUACAAAUGUGUGGUCAAGUUGGAGUGAGCCUGUGUGUAGGGCUGCACGAUUAAUUGAUUUUAAAUCAAUCAGAUUAUUUGAUUAUGACAAUGUUAAAAAAAAUUAAAAUCGUCAAUCAUUCCUCUCUAUCAUGUCUCAUGCCUCCAGGCCCCCAUAGGCUCCCCCUUCCUGCGGGAGUGCUCCCCAGUUCCCGCACACACCAGUGUAAACAAACAUGGUGUUUGCAAAAGAAGGAAAUAAUUUCAUGGCUAAAUAGGGCAAAAGCAAGUCAGUCAUGUGGAAUUGGUACGGCUUCGCAGUUUCGGAUGAAGAGCAAACCGCUCCUCGCUGCAAGGUCUGUCUGAAGGCGGUAUCAACCCGUCUACAGAAAAACCAAUUCAGUUGUAAACGCCAAAGAUUUUUGCCAUAACUGCAUUUCAUCCGCAUGGAAGGUGACUGUAAACUGUACUUUUUGAAAAUGGGUCAGACAGUGCAUACAUCCGUCAAUGACUACCAUUUCAUCUCUGUGUGGAUGACUAUCUGCAACUCUUUUAUGGCGACUGCACAUGUCUGGCCAAAACAACCUUUAUACGCAUAGUCUGUACUCUUCUUCUGUCUUUUGUGCAUUUCCCGGGCAGAGUUACAGUGCCACUUACUGGCUUGGCAUAUGCACAACAUUUUUUUAAUGGUUUCGUUUUGAGAGAUGAUGAGUACACAUUUUAAUAAAGAUAAGUUUGGUGAAGUUAUCGCUGAAUAAAAAAUCGAGUUGUCAAAGAAAAAAAUUGGGAUUUUACUUUUGGCCAAAACCAUGCAGCCCUAGCUGUGUGAGAACACAGGAAAUCUUCAGUCAAAUUCACAGAGAGGGAGUGGGCAGCAUUAGUUGAUAAACUAUGCCUUUGGUGCUCAAGUCUUGUCAAGUUUAGCUGAUUGGUUGGAAAAGGCUACAUUUAAAGGGAGCUGUUAGCAGAAACUAUAAAGUGUGCUAUUGGUCAGAAAAUAGUAGGAGAACAAGUAGUGGAAGGUACACACUCUGUAUUCCUCUAAAUCAAUUUAAAAUCUCACCACAUACAGGGAGUUGAUAUAAAGUUUGUGAACUGAAGACAAAUCACUUCAACUUUUUUUCACUGUGGAUAAAUGAUCCUCAGACAACCCUUCUGGUCUUUUAGGUGAUUGUUCCUGGUGUUUUGCUGGGUUUCUCUUUGUUAACACAAUCCAAUCAUGCAGAUGGAUGUUCACAUCAUUCAAGGAGGAUCUCUUUGUGAUCGUCUAAAAAUGUAAAAUGACUCAAAUCAUAAAUUAGCUCUUAGUGCUUCCUUUGUAGCUUCUGCCUUGUCUCUUUCAUGGUUUGAUGUAUUUUUAACCUUCAACAGGACAGAGGAUAUGACAGCAGGCAUAUGCAGCUUUAAGCUACCACUGGCGUCAUGUGGUGAAACAUGGCUUCCUCUAAAAAUCGGCUAAAAGAGGUCUGUCAUUGAAGCUAGUCUCAGCUGAACACAUUCAGAAAUCUCAGAGCAGAGCCCUGGGAGUUAUAAUCUCUCAUUAACAAAAUCGUGAAUGAUGUAAUUUCUCCAAAGAAUGGUGUUACAUCCCUCCAAGAGCGCUCCAGUAGCUUGAAGGAUUUAUGCUUCAGUGCUUUGCUUUCUUUCUUUUUGCAAUUAGCUCUAAUUUGCUGUGAUCUCGGUGGUGGCCCUAGCCUGCAGUCAUUAUCCUUUGACCUUGCAUGUGAGCAUUUGUGGCUGUUUGGUGACUGUAGAUAGCUGCACACCGCCCCCACAGCGCGACGAUCGUACACACAAGAACUGCGGCACCUUUUUCCUGAGCCUUUGUAGUGCAACUGAGUGUUACCGAAUCCUUCCUGCCACUGUCAGAGAUAAUUGGCACUCCAUAAACACAUGAUAAUUGGACCGCUUUGAUCCCUGCAAUUUCUCACUUCUUGGCCAAAGAGGCGCAGCAGUUCUGUCUCAUGUUUACCACUCGUCUUUAUGUGGCAGCGAGCAGAUACACAGAGUGAAAGAGGCAGAGAGAAAGAGAGAUUCUCGUCUUCCUCUGAAGUGUUAAAAGCCCCCUACAGGCAACAUUUCCUGCUCCCAGCCUCUUUAGCCAUUGUUCCUCGGCUGCUUAUGGCCAUGACUCAUUACAAACUUCUCUUUCGCACACAUGCAGGGCUUAAUCAUGUUGUGAAAAGUCUCCAAAUAAUCUUCUUUCUCUGUGUUUGUCUGUGUUUGUUUGCCCAGGGAACUAGAGAGCUUCAUCCAGGAGAAGUACUGAAACUUGAAGAAAACUUCCCACUGGACUAGACCAACACUUCUCUGUGAGGUAAGCCUUCUCUGAACUUUGGUUAUUUGUUCAACAGAGCUCACGCUGUUCAAUUUUUAGCUCUAAAUCUCCCCCACCCCCCAAAAAAAUCCACAGCACAGGCUGCUCAUUUAAAAAUGAUAAUCCUGAUUAUACUGCGAGAUCAGAAGUAUUAUUCAUCAAAUCAGAUAUUAAACCGUUGCAGACAAACACUGAUUUCUAUUUCCAGCCAGUCUUCACGUAGGAUCACGCUGAUGCUGAAAUGUGUGUGCAUUAGCAGACCUGCUUUAAUUAUCCCAGAAUGAAUCCCUUUAAUUGAACCUUAGAAAAGAAAAGUGUUCAAAACCUGCAUUUAUAUUUCAUUUGUGAUGUUUUUCCCCUCGGAGUGAUCACAGCUGCCUCUUUUUAUGCAUCACUACUACUCAUUGUAUGUCCUGUUAGUGAAUAAUGUAUGUUUUUAUUGGUACUACACUGCCUCUGGGUUCAGAUAUUUCCCCCUCUUUCUCUCUUUCCCUCUCAGCGCUAACAUACGAACUGAUUGUCAUUCAGCCGGCAUGGCGUCUUGGCUCUGAGUCCUCUGAUCCAAAGCGGGCUGCUGCUGCUCCUCAUUGAAAACUCCCUUGUUGUUUUUCAGCUGUAACACAGGGGGCAGCAGAGGUCAACUGUCCUCUCCUCCUUUCUCUGCCUCUCUCUCUCACUCUCUUUCUCUCUUUGGUCCCUCUCUGCUCCUCAUAACAGAGCGGUGCCGAGAAGAGGUUAAACUUUCCGGAUAUGUUAAUG
rnacentral:lncRNA from 1 species